ensembl:miRNA MIR4782 microRNA 4782
AUUGCCCAGUUCUGGAUAUGAAGACAAUCAAGAAAAGAUUUGGUGUUCUUGAUUGUCUUCAUAUCUAGAACUGGGCAGU